CGGCGUGCCUAAUACAUGCAAGUCGAACGAACUCUGGUAUUGAUUGGUGCUUGCAUCAUGAUUUACAUUUGAGUGAGUGGCGAACUGGUGAGUAACACGUGGGAAACCUGCCCAGAAGCGGGGGAUAACACCUGGAAACAGAUGCUAAUACCGCAUAACAACUUGGACCGCAUGGUCCGAGUUUGAAAGAUGGCUUCGGCUAUCACUUUUGGAUGGUCCCGCGGCGUAUUAGCUAGAUGGUGGGGUAACGGCUCACCAUGGCAAUGAUACGUAGCCGACCUGAGAGGGUAAUCGGCCACAUUGGGACUGAGACACGGCCCAAACUCCUACGGGAGGCAGCAGUAGGGAAUCUUCCACAAUGGACGAAAGUCUGAUGGAGCAACGCCGCGUGAGUGAAGAAGGGUUUCGGCUCGUAAAACUCUGUUGUUAAAGAAGAACAUAUCUGAGAGUAACUGUUCAGGUAUUGACGGUAUUUAACCAGAAAGCCACGGCUAACUACGUGCCAGCAGCCGCGGUAAUACGUAGGUGGCAAGCGUUGUCCGGAUUUAUUGGGCGUAAAGCGAGCGCAGGCGGUUUUUUAAGUCUGAUGUGAAAGCCUUCGGCUCAACCGAAGAAGUGCAUCGGAAACUGGGAAACUUGAGUGCAGAAGAGGACAGUGGAACUCCAUGUGUAGCGGUGAAAUGCGUAGAUAUAUGGAAGAACACCAGUGGCGAAGGCGGCUGUCUGGUCUGUAACUGACGCUGAGGCUCGAAAGUAUGGGUAGCAAACAGGAUUAGAUACCCUGGUAGUCCAUACCGUAAACGAUGAAUGCUAAGUGUUGGAGGGUUUCCGCCCUUCAGUGCUGCAGCUAACGCAUUAAGCAUUCCGCCUGGGGAGUACGGCCGCAAGGCUGAAACUCAAAGGAAUUGACGGGGGCCCGCACAAGCGGUGGAGCAUGUGGUUUAAUUCGAAGCUACGCGAAGAACCUUACCAGGUCUUGACAUACUAUGCAAAUCUAAGAGAUUAGACGUUCCCUUCGGGGACAUGGAUACAGGUGGUGCAUGGUUGUCGUCAGCUCGUGUCGUGAGAUGUUGGGUUAAGUCCCGCAACGAGCGCAACCCUUAUUAUCAGUUGCCAGCAUUAAGUUGGGCACUCUGGUGAGACUGCCGGUGACAAACCGGAGGAAGGUGGGGAUGACGUCAAAUCAUCAUGCCCCUUAUGACCUGGGCUACACACGUGCUACAAUGGAUGGUACAACGAGUUGCGAACUCGCGAGAGUAAGCUAAUCUCUUAAAGCCAUUCUCAGUUCGGAUUGUAGGCUGCAACUCGCCUACAUGAAGUCGGAAUCGCUAGUAAUCGCGGAUCAGCAUGCCGCGGUGAAUACGUUCCCGGGCCUUGUACACACCGCCCGUCACACCAUGAGAGUUUGUAACACCCAAAGUCGGUGGGGUAACCUUUUAGGAACCAGCCGCCUAAGGUGGGACAGAUGAUU
rnacentral:rRNA from 1 species